AGCCUGAUAGCUCAGGGGUUAAGAGGACUAGACAUGUAAUCCAAACUUAGUGGUCGCUGGUUCAAAUCCAGCUCAGGUCA